rnacentral:piRNA from 1 species
UUGGAGGAUAGGGACUUGAGAACGG